rnacentral:rRNA from 1 species
UACAGGGGGCAAGGCGUUGUUCGGAAUUACUGGGCGUAAAGGGUUCGUAGGUGGCCAACUAAGUCAGACGUGAAAUCCCUCGGCUUAAACCGGGGAACUGCGUCUGAUACUGGAUGGCUUGAGAUUGGGAGAGGAUGCGGAAUUCCAGGUGUAGCGGUGAAAAUGCGUAGAUAUCUGGAGGAACACCGGUGGCGAAGGCGGCAUCCUGGACCAACACUGACGCU